rnacentral:lncRNA from 1 species
GUUUUAAAGUCAACUGAAAUGUAAAAAAAGGCCAGACUGGUGCAUUAUUAUUCAUAACUUUAUCACUCUAAAGGAAUAAAGGCUUCAUAACCUCUUCAAUGCAAAAGUACUAAAGUAGUGGAAUUAAAUUGAAGUACUUUCCUCUUUCUAAGCAUUCUGUAUAAGUAUCAAGAAUAAACAAUAAACAGUUCUGUUAUUUAGUGACGUCUCCCCUUUUGAUUGACAGGCUCACCUGGCCACGCCCCCUCAGCUCACAGCCACACACGUAGUGAAUACACGCCCUGCUCCUCCUGGCUCCUCUGCCCCCACGCUUCCACGUUCUCCUCUGUCACACACUUCCUCUCCAGCUGCAUCUAAUCUCUGCUUAAUGAACUCUCCAUUCAAAGCCAGCCAACACACGCCAGUUGUCAGGUUGUCUGCGGCAGAGGCACCGUGCCAGCGCUCAUAAGGCAUCUGUCACAGAUUCUCCAUCAGCCUCGUUCGCUGGGACGUGGCCCAUCGUGCAGCGAGUGCCUUUGAAUCGAAGGGCUAUUUAUUAGAUGAAUGUGAUGACCAGCCAAGUUGUGCAGAGGAGUCGCAGGCGUCGACCGACUGGCUGACGCAUGAAAAGCUGCGGCGCGAAGCAGACCUGCCCUCCUGACACGCGGAGCAGCGUGGAAACAGGCGGCGCUGGCAGGUCUUGGCAGCAGACGCCUCGGACCCGUCUCAUAUCUGCCUGAUCUGUGAUCCUGUCAACUUCACCGAGUCUCUGAGGAGCUGCUUAUGUGUUUGCUGUAUAAGAGAUGUGUCAGCGUUGGAACAGGAGACAAUUACACCUAGAUGUGAUUGUGGCCACCGCUCAUCCAGGACCUGUGGACUCUCUUUAAUUACCACUCCAGCGGGGAGCCUCUCCUGCUCACUAAUUCUUUGAUCGUCUCCCUCAGUGCAGUUGUCGUGACAACUCAUUGCCCUCAUUGCAGCAGUACCCUGACUUGGUUAGAUGUCGUGGUUGGGCUUUAUAUCUGUACUAAAGAAAAAAGGGGUGAAAAACACUCAACUAUACCCUUGGUUUAACUUCCCCAGUAGAUGUUAGCACCUUUACAGACUGGAUUGGGUCAAAAAAAUAAAUACCAGUAAGGGAAAUUCUAAAUUGCUCA